GACGAACGCUGGCGGCGUGCUUAACACAUGCAAGUCGAACGGAAAGGCCCUGCUUUUGUGGGGUGCUCGAGUGGCGAACGGGUGAGUAACACGUGAGUAACCUGCCCUUGACUUUGGGAUAACUUCAGGAAACUGGGGCUAAUACCGGAUAGGAGCUCCUGCUGCAUGGUGGGGGUUGGAAAGUUUCGGCGGUUGGGGAUGGACUCGCGGCUUAUCAGCUUGUUGGUGGGGUAGUGGCUUACCAAGGCGUUGACGGGUAGCCGGCCUGAGAGGGUGACCGGCCACAUUGGGACUGAGAUACGGGCAAGACUCCUACGGGAGGCAGCAGUGGGGAAUAUUGCACAAUGGGCGGAAGGCUGAUGCAGCAACGCCGCGUGCGGGAUGACGGACUUCGGGUUGUAAACCGCUUUCGCCUGUGACGAAGCGUGAGUGACGGUAAUGGGUAAAGAAGCACCGGCUAACUACGUG
rnacentral:rRNA from 1 species